AAGAUCAAUACGGUAUUCCUUAAGGAUAUUUCCAGAAGUACUUGUAUUUACGAUACUCGAUAGGCACGCGCGACUGCACGAACAAGAUUUCCACCAAAAAACAAAAAGUGACCCAGAAGACCUAAUUAUUGUUCCUCUUCUCUCUUUUUUUCACACCAAUCCUCUGCUAUGCUCCAUUUCAAAAACUCUUUUUCUUUUAAAGGGGCAACUUCACUGCUUAGUUGCAGCGUCCAAUAAUCAGGUUUUAAUUAGUUGGUCUUAAUGUUCUGUGGAAUUUUCUUGAUCAGGGCUGUCAUGCUUCGGUCCCUUUGGAUGACAGCAAUGGUUAUAAAAAUCAUUCCAUACCCAAUCAUACCUUGAAAAGGCUUGGCCAGGGGGGUACUUUCAUGUGCUGAUAUUGUUUCUAUUGCCACCAGAGAUGGGAUUAUGCUUGUCUGUUCUCUAUCCUGAAUUUUCAUAUGUUCUCUCUCUCUCAUUUAGAUAUAUUUUUUGUUAAUAUUAAGGGUCCUUGCAGCUAACGGUUUUAGCAACAGCUUAAGGUUUAGGAUUUGAUGAUUGAUUGUGGAUAAUGAUGCUUAAAUGAAACUUGGGGAAAAUGACGGAGGGAGAGCAUUCAUUCAUAUUUCAAAGCACUGGCCAACAUUCCACAACCAGAUGAGAAAAAUGCCAAGUCAGCUUACAGAUUUGAGAUUGUUCAAAUGGUUAUUGUGGACACUGAACCUGAUGAACAUGUGAAGAGGACUGUGAGUGAGAUAAAUGCCGCUGCAAGAAUGAAGGUGGUGGCUAACGAGAAGGCUGAAGCAGAAAAAAUCUUGCAAAUAAAACAUGCAAAAGGAGACUGAGCACGGUAAACAUGCCAGCAUCAGACCAUUGAAGUUGGGCUGAGGGACAGUGUGCUUGCUUUUUCUAUGAAUGUACCUGGGACUACGUCAAAGGAUGUCAUGGACAUGGGUUUGGUGACUCAAUAUUUAGACACAAUGAAAGAAAUUGGCGCAUUGUCAUCACACACAGACCAGGUGCUGUGAAAGACAUUGCUUCACAGAUUAGAGAUGGCCUCCUUCAAUCAAAUACCACUCAGAAUUAGUGACUUUGUUCCAACAUAUAUGUUGCAUGAGUGGCAUUUCUAAUGGUGUAUGAAAUGAUUGGUGCUAGUAUCUAAGAGUUGUCUUUUAUUCUUCUUUUCUACUUUCCAAAUUAUUUACUUGAGUGAUGAUAGGAGCUAGGGAUUGUCAUGCAAGUUGCAACUAAGUGGUGUGGUGUGUAUACAUGGUGUUGAACUUGGCCAUAGUAUUCUUUUAUAGGAUGAGAUGGUACUGAUUUGGGUAAUUUUGUGGAA